rnacentral:rRNA from 1 species
CCUACGGGUGGCAGCAGUGAGGAAUAUUGCGCAAUGGGGGAAACCCUGACGCAGCAACGCCGCGUGGGUGAAGAAGGCCUUCGGGUCGUAAAGCCCUUUCGGACGGGACGAACGCUCCGCGGUGACAAGCCGCGGAGCCUGACGGUACCGUAAGAAGAAGCACCGGCUAACUCCGUGCCAGCAGCCGCGGUAAUACGGAGGGUGCGAGCGUUGUUCGGAAUUACUGGGCGUAAAGCGCGUGUAGGCGGCCUUGCGAGUCAGACGUGAAAGCCCUCGGAUUAACCGGGGAAGUG